GUGGAACGAUAUUAUUUGGAGAUGGAACUAAAGUGCAAAUAGAAACCAGCAUUUGCUCUCUGAUGGCCAGUAUAGUUAUUUUUCUGCUGUGCGCUGUCUUCGUUCUCAUUGUUACUGCUGUCCUCACUUAUUCGAUCAGAAAAAACAGCAGUAAUCAUUGCAAAGGCGCUGUCCUGCAGAAAAAUUGUAGCGAUCAGAAAAGACAAAAGAAUAAGGACACGUCUAUGUUUUCUGCUGUUGUCUUUACAAUGAUGAAGGCUGACAGAGGGAAAAUAGAGGAUGCAAAAGCAGUUGAGAAGCAGAUCUACAUGGCCAAGUCUUUUGGAUUGGAUUAGUUCUAUUUACCCACCUUAUGAAAUUAUCUACCGGAUGUUUCUUUCUUUAUACAUCAUGUCGUCAUGAUUCAUGUCACUGCCUAUCAUAGCAGUGGGUUUAAAUGUAUUGAGAUUAACUGCAUUUUAAUAUAGAUGUGCACACAUGCAUACGCCUCAGUAUAAUCCCUGACCUGCAACACUGUCAGUCUAGUCUGGUUGGGAACAUUUGUUGCUUUUCUUGGUCGUUUUUCUCUCUGUCCAACUUUAAAAAAUGUGAAAAUAGUAGAUUUUUUGUUGUUUAUGAUUUUUUUAUUGUUUAACCAAGCUUCCUGUUGAUAUUCCCAUUGAUGAUCGGCUUACAUUUAUGCAGUUUUAUUACUUGGCUUAAUUUGAUUUUGUAUUGUUACUAACUGUACUUUAAUGAUCUGUUAUAGAACUAAAGAUGGACAAGAUGAUGUAUUCAAUCAGAG
ensembl:lncRNA